UUAACUAUGUACCAUAGGUAUAGUUCGGCAUUGAUUCAGUUCUAAUUUCAGUUCGCGAUUUUAAAUAAAUUAUUAAUGUCGGCCGUAGCAGUGGGUGGAAUUUUAAAGUCGUGACUUAUAAAUCGACAAUUAUUCUAUUUUAUCAAAAAUAUGCAUACGUUUUUUAAUAUAGUGUUUGUAAAAUUAAUAAUCAUUAGUGUUCAAAUCAAUAUAAUCUUAUUAGCGCAGCAGGAAGAACCAACGCCAACAGCAUCAGCGAAAAAUCUAAAUUCUGGCAAAAAUAGUACUCAAUUUUCCACUUGUGUGGAUAUUCUGAAGAAAGACACGACUAUUAAAAACGGAUGGUUUUGGAUAAACCCAGGAAAUGAUUACGAAGACAAGCCAUUUAAAGUGUGGUGUGACUUCCACAGAAACGAAACCUGCGUCUUUCCUCAACUAAGCUCAUUAGUAUCAGUACCGGUUAAUGUGGCAUGUUCACCAGAGGAAAUAUGGAUGGGAACUAUGGGUCAGAAGAUUUCAUAUCCAUUUGAUAACAGCCAGAAAAGAGUACUCCAGGAAACUUCCCGACUUUGUCACCAAAACAUCAGUAUUUAUUGUAAAAAUCUGGUGGCAUUCCAUGAUGCUACCCAACGCACUUUCGACAAAAGUGUCAAGAUUCUCGCAUGGAACGAUGUUGAGCUGACCCCACUGGGUCCAUAUACUUUAAGACUCAAGGCAGUUAGAGAUGAUUGUAAGUAUAGGGACAAUUCUAAUGAGUGGAAAAAGACUGUUAUUAAAUACUCUACAAACAGAUGUGACAGGCUCCCCUUCACAGAUGUCGCGAUACGAGACGGAGGGAGGAGAGGACUUGGCCAGUGGUUCUAUGUACAAGUUGCACCAGUUUGUUUUUCUUGGUGAUCUAUCUACAGUCCAUCUUGUUAUGAUUUGUCGCUAUGGAUGAUCACUAGGCACGUACUGUUGGCUAGUGAAGAGUUUUUUUUGGAGUAAUCACUAUUUUUUUCUCAACCAAGUACUUAUUUAUAAUAUUUAUAAUUAUUCUCGUUGUAUUGAUUCUUGUACCUACUUGAUCUGAAUUUUGUAUUUAUUGUGUUCACUGGUGUUCAAUCUUUAAUACCAUUUUUAUUUGUAUGCAAAUCUAUGCUUUAUCCAUAGUA